GGUUAGAAACUCUAAAUGUGCAUCAGAACGACUCAUAAUCGAUUGGUCGUAGGUUCAAGUCCUACUGGGCCCACCA
rnacentral:tRNA from 1 species